UGGGGAAUAUUGGUCAAUGGGCGGGAGCCUGAACCAGCCAAGCCGCGUGAGGGAAGAAGGCCCUAUGGGUCGUAAACCUCUUUUGUCAGGGAACAAAAGCGAGUAUGUAUACUGGUCUGAGUGUACCUGAAGAAAAACGCAUCGGCUAACUCCGUGCCAGCAGCCGCGGUAAUACGGAGGAUGCGAGCGUUAUCCGGAUUUAUUGGGUUUAAAGGGUGCGUAGGCGGCGGUGCAAGUCAGCGGUAAAAGCCCGGGGCUCAACCCCGGCGAGCCGUUGAAACUGCAGUGCUAGAGAAGGCGAGAGGUACGCGGAAUGCGCAGUGUAGCGGUGAAAUGCUUAGAUAUUGCGCAGAACUCCGAUUGCGAAGGCAGCGUACUGGCGCCUGACUGACGCUGAGGCACGAAAGCGUGGGGAUCGAACAGGAUUAGAUACC
rnacentral:rRNA from 1 species